AUGAAGACCUCGAGGAUGAGAAAUAACAACCUUUCCCUCCUCCUGCAUCCCCGCUUUGUGCAAAGUUACUAAGGAAACGGACAACCGCAUCCGGCAAAAGGGAGCCUGAAGGAAAAGGGGAAAGACAGGAACAGGAGAAUUUGAACAAAUGCAGUCACAGACUGGAAACAGAGACGUACAAUGCACAGAAGAUUUCAGACGAGAAGGUCUGUGGCUUCCUCCUCUCACACAUGGAAGAAGAGCCCAUGACUACAUGGAGAGAACUUCCGGCUGAUAUGGACGUUGAGAAGUUUUUGUCCGAAAAGGGCAUUUCCGCUUUGUGGGAUGUUCUCUGUAACACAGCUUUCAAAGGACAAGGCUAUGAGGUAAGACAUAAGUCAUUUUUUUAAUUUUUUUUAUAUAAUAUUAUCAUAUGUAUCACUCUAGGUGGAGAGCUAUAUUAAUUUGUUGUAUAGACUUUCAAUAUUACAUAUCUACUAAAAGCAGCAUCUAUUAUCAUUGUUGAUUGCAUUAGAACAUUUUACUUUAAAACCCUUCACAUCGAUUUGCACACUUCAAGUCAUCAUUGGAACUCACAGUCUCUUUCAAAUAAUGUUGGCUGGUUGCAAACUGGCUGUAUGCAUCCUGCACCCAGGGUAUUGCCUACUUAUGUAAUUGCAUUGCAAGUUGCCUGUGCACGUGUACAACUGUUGUAUGGAGAGGAUUAUGUGUAGACGGGCAUAUGCUUGUGCAGCUGUUUUUAUGAAUGAAAGUGUGCCAUGUCCCUCUCCCUGGAUAUGUAGACUAAUCUACCUGUAUUUAGUGCUUGUGAAAAUCUCAUCCGAAAAUCUCAUCUCAAAUUUCCAUCCGUUCACUGGAAGGGAGGCCAUGUGGUGAGCCCUCGUCACAGUGACAGGGUAGCACAUCGGCCCGGUCGCAUUGGGUGGAUGUGACAGGCACAGCUUGUGCACCAGUUUCCUCCUCUGACUCAGCAGUGGGGGUGUUGUGACGCGGUACCGUGCACUCCAUUCACGAGGGCUUGUCAGAAAGUGAAAGUGGGUCCAUUUUAGCCUAACAUGAGACAGGUCUAGCUACAGAUGGCAGUAAAUUAACUAAAUUAGCCAACAUCCUUGACUUGCUAGCACCAAUAACUAGCUACC